GAUUAGCCUGUAUUGUAUCAGUUAGUUGGUGGGGUAAUGGCCUACCAAGACGAUGACGCAUAACUGGUUUGAGAGGAUGAUCAGUCACACUGGAACUGAGACACGGUCCAGACUCCUACGGGAGGCAGCAGUGGGGAAUAUUGCACAAUGGACGAAAGUCUGAUGCAGCAACGCCGCGUGGAGGAUGACACAUUUCGGUGCGUAAACUCCUUUUAUAUAAGAAGAUAAUGACGGUAUUAUAUGAAUAAGCACCGGCUAACUCCGUGCCAGCAGCCGCGGUAAUACGGAGGGUGCAAGCGUUACUCGGAAUCACUGGGCGUAAAGAGCGUGUAGGCGGAUUGAUAAGUUUGAAGUGAAAUCCUAUAGCUUAACUAUAGAACUGCUUUGAAAACUGUUAAUCUAGAAUGUGGGAGAGGUAGAUGGAAUUUCUGGUGUAGGGGUAAAAUCCGUAGAGAUCAGAAGGAAUACCGAUUGCGAAGGCGAUCUACUGGAACAAUAUUGACGCUGAGACGCGAAAGCGUGGGGAGCAAACAGGAUUAGAUACCCUGGUAGUCCACGCCCUAAACGAUGUACACUAGUUGUUGUGAGGCUCGACCUUGCAGUAAUGCAGUUAACACAUUAAGUGUACCGCCUGGGGAGUACGGUCGCAAGAUUAAAACUCAAAGGAAUAGACGGGGACCCGCACAAGCGGUGGAGCAUGUGGUUUAAUUCGACGAUACACGAAGAACCUUACCUGGACUUGACAUAGUAAGAAUGAUUUAGAGAUAGAUUAGUGUCUGCUUGCAGAAACUUGCAUACAGGUGCUGCACGGCUGUCGUCAGCUCGUGUCGUGAGAUGUUGGGUUAAGUCCCGCAACGAGCGCAACCCUCGUCCUUAGUUGCUAACAGUUCGGCUGAGAACUCUAAGGAGACUGCCUACGCAAGUAGGAGGAAGGUGAGGAUGACGUCAAGUCAUCAUGGCCCUUACGUCCAGGGCUACACACGUGCUACAAUGGGGUAUACAAAGAGCAGCAAUACGGUGACGUGGAGCAAAUCUCAAAAAUGCCUCCCAGUUCGGAUUGUAGUCUGCAACUCGACUACAUGAAGUUGGAAUCGCUAGUAA
rnacentral:rRNA from 1 species